CGCGCAUGCCCAGAACUGCGUCACGUGCCCGUCCGCUCCAGCCGGCGCGAGCUCUGCUGCGUCCGCCGCGGCCAGAACUACGCCGCGCGCCGCAAUGGAGCGCAUCGAGGGGGCGGCCGUGGGCCGCUGCACCGCCUCGCCCUACCUGCAACCUUUCACGCUGCACUACCGCCAGAAUGGUGCCCAGAAGUCGUGGGACUUCGUGAAAACACACGACAGUGUGACCAUCCUGCUCUUCAACUCUUCGCGGAGGAGUCUGGUGCUGGUGAAGCAGUUCCGGCCAGCUGUGUAUGCGGGCGAGGUGGAACGCCGCUUCCCAGGGUCCCUGGUGGCCGUGGACCAGGACGGGCCCCGGGCGCUGCCGGCGGCGCUGCCCGGCUCGGCCGGGGUGACGUUCGAGCUGUGUGCCGGCCUCGUGGACCAGCCCGGGCUGUCGCUGGAGGAGACGGCCUGCAAGGAGGCCUGGGAGGAGUGCGGCUACCGGCUGGCGCCGGCCGAUUUGCGCCGCGUGGCCACCUACAAGCCGGAGGAAACCGCGACUGGAAACUCCUGAGACGGCUCCCAUCAAAGGGCAGGCUGUGCCGCCGGCGGAAACGGGCCACGGGGAGGGUCUGAGGGAGAUGAGGGUGCGGAGGGCAGAGGAAGCAGCUGGGCGAGGUCAGUGUGUGGGGGCCCUCCGGGACGUGGGCGUGGCGGCCCCCCCUCCGUCGGGCUCCUGCCCUGUGCUUCGGGCGCAGCUCCAAGGGCAGCCGCCCCGGGCCGGGCUGACCCGGAGCCUCCCCGCUGGCUUCCCCGGACAGCUCCCGGAGGCCCGGUCCCCCUCCCUGCACACCACUUGUGGGCCUCCCUCUCCUGCGCGGGGAGCCAGGCCAGCCUGGUGACCACCCUGCCCUCACAGCCAGCAGUCAGCACGUUGCCCACUCUUGCCCUCCACCUGCCAGUCUGGGCCACUGCCCUCUGCCUGGGUGCUUGUCCCCUCCUGUGGCCACCACCCACUACGAAGGGAACUCACGCUCCUCUGCAGCCAGGGACCCAUGGGCUUGGUCUGGGGGACCUUGUUGCCGCCCCGCCCCACCCCACCACUACCGUGAGCCCCAGCUCCGUGCCUGGGCUGCCUGGGCACCUGCCGCCCCCAGCCUGGUGCCCUGCAGGUGACAGUGUGGGGGUCUCCCAGGCCUAGGCCCUGCUUGCGGCCAGCUUGGAUCCCUGGGUGCGGGUGGGAGUCCAGCAGCUCGGCAGCCGGGGGUCGGGGCAGGGGGAUGCGCCCAAGUGGGGAAGGGGGCCCUGUGCGAGCAUGGACAGGAGGGGCUGCGCUCCAGACAGCCCCGGAGGCUGACCAGCUUUAGCCGCCGCAGCCUCCAGGGGGCCUGGGCUGGUGGUCUGGGUCCGCCCCUCAGGGUCUCGGCUGCUGGGUCCACUGUCUGCCCUGGGGCUCAGGUGCCCUUCCCCGCUCCUGGGGCUGCGGCUGCGGCUGCGGCUCUGUCCUGGCUGGCUGUCAGCCGGGACCACGGUCAGCUCCUCGAGGCCGUGCAGUGCCUGCCGUGUGGCCCCUCACAGCGUGCAGCUCGCUGCAUCUUCAAAGCUGACAGGUCCGGCGUGGGACUGACCGGCUCCAGCCAGACCAUGUUCUAUGCAGAGGUGACCGAUGCCCAGCGGGGCGGCCCUGGCGGGGGCCUGGCCGAGGAGGGUGAGCUCAUCGAGGUUGUGCACCUGCCCC